UGUUAUGGGAGAAUCCUAAACAUCCCCAUGUGACUGAAGGUGGACUAACCAAUUAAAAUAAAUUGAACUGAGUGAACUUCCUGGGAGGAAUUUACAGUAUU